CCCUUAGAUGUUCUGGGCGGCCCGCGCACUACAAUGGCGUGUGCAGCGAGUGCCGAAGUAGAGUUUUCCGAGGUAUUCUUGCAAUGCUCGUUUUGAUGGGGAUAGACCCUUGCAACUGUUGGUUUUGAACGAGGAAUUCCUUGUAAGCAUGGUUUAUCAUCCGACGCUGAAUGCGUCCCUGCCCUUUGUACACACCGCCCGUCGCUCCUACCGAUGAGUCGUCCGGUGAAGUUCGUAGACCUCGUGAUCGCGGAUCACUGGGGGUAGCAAAAUGAACCUCGCGGUUUAGAGGAAGGAGAAGUCGUAACA
rnacentral:rRNA from 1 species